rnacentral:rRNA from 1 species
CCUACGGGAGGCAGCAGUGAGGAAUAUUGGUCAAUGGGCGCGAGCCUGAACCAGCCAAGUAGCGUGAAGGAUGACUGCCCUACGGGUUUUAAACUUCUUUUAUAAAGGAAUAGAGUGAGGCACGUGUGCCUUUUUGUAUGUACUUUAUGAAUAAGGAUCGGCUAACUCCGUGCCAGCAGCCGCGGUAAUACGGAGGAUCCGAGCGUUAUCCGGAUUUAUUGGGUUUAAAGGGAGCGGAGAUGGGUUGUUAAGUCAGUUGUGAAAGUUUGCGGCUCAACCGUAAAAUUGCAAUUGAUACUGGCAGUCUUGAGUACAGUUGAGGUAGGCGGAAUUCGUGGUGUAGCGGUGAAAUGCGUAGAUAUCACGAAGAAUUCCGAUUGCGAAGGCAGCUUACUAAACUGACACUGACAUUGAGGUGCGAAAGUGUGGGUAGCAAACAGGAUUAGAUACCCGAGUAGUC